rnacentral:rRNA from 1 species
AGGGCUAUUGACUGAGGUUCAUAUUCUUACACCUGUGCACACUUUGUAGGCCAUUCAUUUGGUCUAUGUCUUUUAAUAACACGUCUUUGUAAAAUGUGAAUGGAAAAUGGGAUAAAUAAUACAACUUUCAACAACGGAUCUCUUGGCUCUCGCAUCGAUGAAGAACGCAGCGAAAUGCGAUAAGUAAUGUGAAUUGCAGAAUUCAGUGAAUCAUCAAAUCUUUGAACGCACCUUGCGCUCCUUGGUAUUCCGAGGAGCAUGCCUGUUUGAGUGUCAUUAAAUUCUCAAAAGUCUUUCUUUAGACUUUUUGGACUUGGAGUGUUUGCUGGCUUUAUCAAAGUCAGCUCCUCUUAAAUGUAUUAGCUUGUGCUCUGUGGAUUAGGCUUUGGUUUGAUAGUAUCUAUGCCAUCGCUUUUGAAACAAAUAGUCAGCUUCUAACAACAAUCUCUUUGACAUUUUGACCUCAAAUCAGGUAGGACUACCCGCUGAACUUAAGCAUAUCUAAAGGGG